AUGCCCACUGAUUAUAGAAAGACGCGUUAUUCUGAGGAAUGCAACCUGCACCCAGUCUUUCCUCUAUCCUUUACUCCAUCUUUAAUCUCCUCCAUCUUUCCUGUCCCUCCUCCACUCCCUCUCCUCUUCUGUUCAAACUGGUGGCAGGUCCGCUGACUGCGAUUAUGAGAUAUGAGGGCAU
ensembl:snoRNA